AUUAAAUGGAACAAUUCCAACAAAGACUGUGAGAGAAAAGAGGAAAAUGCAGUGGUUGACGUCUUCAAGUGUUGGCAUUGUGGUGAUUUUUCCCUUUUAAAAGUCCCUUCCCUUUUUAUUGUUUUCUGUGAAGUGAAAAUAAAAACCAGGACAGGAGACCACCUUACACAUCACUCUAACCAUCUUUCUCUGGCAGGACCCCAGGGCCCUUUGCCAUGGGCACAACAACUGGAGCCCUGGCAUGAAUCCUACAAGGACAGGAACUUCCCCUCCCACCACUGGCCCCAACCUGGAUCCCUGCAGGGUUUCAACAAAAUACGUGGAUCUAGCAUAUUAAAGAUCAGCAAAGCCUAUGUCUUCCAAACGCCACUCUGAACAUUACUGGUUUUCACUGGC
rnacentral:lncRNA from 1 species